UUUUUAGAUGUUGUAUUGCUUCGGACUUUCACCGAAAGGUGUCGGAAUAUUUUUAUGCAUGAAGAGUGCAUGAAGAUAUUAAUGAGAAUUUGGAAAUAAAAUUUUUGUUUUAUGCGUCCAACGAGAUUUGAACCGUGGACCUCUUGCUUAUGAAGCAAGCGUUCUACGUACCAAACCACAGGACUGAACAAAAUUUUUAUU